CUCAAAUUAAAUGUUUCAAAAUUUGAUAAAUAGUAUUUACAGCCUAGCAGAUAGUGUGGAAGCAGGAACGAUGGAGUCGGACAACGCAGUAAAUGAAAUUGAAGAGUUGACCGAAGCUAUUGGAGUUGUUUCCGCACUUUCCGACCGCGACUUUUGCAGGAGAGUGGCAGAAAAUUUAGAAGAAGUACGCCAUCGCUUAGCUCGCAGUACAACCAGGCCUCUACACCACCCAGAAGGAUCGGGGAAUUUCGUAUUUGAUAUUCCAACUACAGUUCUUGAGCAGCAGGUUCUUAGUGGAAUACCAGCAAGUGAAAUUGCAACAAUGUUUGGAGUUUCAACGAGGACCAUUGCAGUUGAUGUUUUGUUUGUGCAGAAAGCAAGACCUUUAUUCAACUGUGGACGAUGCUGAGUUGGACCGCAUGGUUAUUGAAAUACACAGAAGACAUCCAAACACCGGGUACAAGCUCAUGCGUGGUCAUCUAAAUGCAAGAGGCUCAAGAGUACUAGAAUCUCUACGCAGAGUCAAUGCAGAAGGAGUUCACAUGAGACGUUUAAGGCUGCGUGUGUCAAGGCGAAGGCAGUAUUCUGUACCUGGCCCGAAUUCCUUGUGGCAUAUAGAUGGGAAUCAUAAGCUCAUCAGGUGGAGAUUUGUUAUCCAUGGAGGGGUGGACGGAUUCGGUCGUCUUGUGGUCUACCUCACUGUGGCUGGCAAUAAUAGAGCCAGUACGGUCUUACGGAGCUUCAUGACUGCUGUUGAGCAGUAUGGACUGCCGUCAAGGGUACGGUCUGAUAAAGGGAGAGAGAAUGCAGAUGUCGCAGAAUUUAUGAUCAGAAGUAGAGGUGCCGACAGGAAUUCACACAUCACUGGAAGAAGUGUCCACAAUCAGCGGUAAAUAAAUAGUUUCAAUAAAUAAACACAUACAGUACAUACAUACUACUGGUCAAACGUUAGUGAACCACACUUUUUCCUAGUGCUUUCAUUGAAAUUCCAGAUUAUUCAGUUCAUUGAACUUUGCUUUUCAGUCUCCACAGCUCUGCCAUUGAUGAGUGAGAAUAUGUUUUCAAGGAGUAGAAUCUAAGCUUUCCAGCAAUAUGACACUUGCCCGGACACUGAAACAUGGGGGGAGAGGGUCGUGCUCUGCUUCACUAUCUAACAAUACAUGUUGACAUUCAUGUUUCCUUCUGUGAACUUUACUUCCCAAGAAGACCACAGGAGAUGGUUCCAGUAAUCCAUGUCCUCAGUCUGUUGGUCUUCAGCAAACUGUGAAAGUUAUCAUUUCUUCAGUGCUGCCCCAUGAAACAUUAUAGAUCAUCAGCAGAAAUGAUUGAGAGGAUGUGGAGGGAUGUUUAUGAACACACACUGGACCUCUUCUACCAGAUCUUUACUUCACUGGAAGGUCAGGGAAUACUGAAUCCGGAUAGCGAGGUCCAUCUUUUUGCACUGCACCACACCUUCCUUCCUGUCAUUCAGCACAGCCUCAACAGUUUCAGAGAUGCCUGGAACUUCCAUGGUCUCAGAACCGAAAGGAAUCAGUCACCUCAGCAACUCUGGAUACGAUACAGAGAGCAAGGCCCUAUGGAGGAUCCUACACAGGUUUAUGAUGACUAUGGAAUCGACCACACCGUCUGGAUGGAGGCAUGGUGUCAGUCCCUGAGGUUCAGUUGGCACGUGAGCUCACAGAGGAAGAACUUGCCAUUUUGCCACAUGUAGGAUUAUCUGCAUCUGAUGCAAUACAAUGUUAUGUUGAAACCGUUGAAGUUGUGUCAAGAAUGAUGACAUAAUGUUAAAGAAAAUAUAGUUAAAUGCUUUGCAUUAUGUUCAGUCAUUAUCAGGACACAUAUAUCUGUGUCCUGUUUGUGAGGCCAGGUGCGCAUGAGAGGAGAAAACAUUCUGUCUGGGAUCAUGUCUGUGGCUUUGACUGUCUGUGACUCCUUACAUAUGUCACACUGUAUCUUUUUAUUAAUGAGUUGUUUUUGCCAACUUUUGUAUAACCACAUGAUUUGCUACAAUAAACCCCAAGGGAGGCUUCUCUCCCCUCAGAGUGGUAAA